rnacentral:rRNA from 1 species
AUUGAACGCUGGCGGCAGGCCUAACACAUGCAAGUCGAGCGACCGGCGGACGGGUGAGUCAUGUAUGGGGACUGCCCGAUAGAGGGGGCUCACUACUGGAAACGGUAGCUAAUACCGCAUACUAUCGGAUAACCCAUAUGGGAUUAGCUAGUAGGUGAGGUAAUGGCUUACCUAGGCGCCGAUACCUAGCUGGUCUGAGAGGAUGAUCAGCCACACUGGAACUGAGACACGGCCCAGACUCCUACGGAGGCAGCAGUGGGGAAUAUUGGACAAUGGGCGAAAGCCUGAUGCAGCCAUGCCGCGUGUGUGAAGAAGGCCCUAGGGUUGUAAAGUACUUGCAGUCGGGAGGCGUUACCAACAGAAGAAGCACCGGCUAACUCCGUGCCAGCAGCCGCGGUAAUAC